rnacentral:ncRNA from 2 species
GGUUGGGCGCAAGCUUCAAGGAUCUGUUCUUCAAGGGGUGAGAAGAA